GACGGAGGUGGCAAGCGUUGCUCGGAUUCAUUGGGUGUAAAGGGUCUGUAGGCGGUUCUGUAAGUCAGAUGUGAAAUCCCACCGCUCAACGGUGGAACUGCAUUUGAAACUGCAGGACUUGAGUGCGGUAGAGGUGAGGGGAAUUCCCGGUGUAAGGGUGAAAUCUGUAGAGAUCGGGAGGAACACCAGUGGCGAAGGCGCCUCACUGGGCCGCAACUGACGCUGAGCGACGAAAGCUAGGGGAGCAAACAGG
rnacentral:rRNA from 1 species